rnacentral:miRNA from 1 species
GCAGACACAUUCCAGCCAAUCAGCAGCAGACCCUCCCUCCCAGACCCUCCUACCUCCUGGACAGCUCACUAAGAAUGCAGCUUCAAAUGAAUUAAAAUGGAUGCUGUCCAGGAGGUGGGAGGGUCUGGGAGGGAGGGUCUGCUGCUGAUUGGCUGGAAUGUGUCUG